rnacentral:rRNA from 1 species
AGUGAACGCUGGCGGUGGGCCUAACACAUGCAAGUCGAACGACAGCACAGUAAGAGCUUGCCCUUACCGUUGGCGAGUGGCGGGCGGGUGAGACAUACAUCGCCAUCUACUUUUUCGUGGGGGAUAACGUAGGAAAACUUACGCUAAUAGCGCAUAUGACCUACCGGUUGAAGCAGUAGAUAUUCAGACCUUUCGCGAUUCAUUUAGCCGGUGUCGGAUUAGCUUGUUGGCGGGGUAAAGGCCCACCAAGGCAACGAUACGUAGCUGGUCUGAGAGGAUGAUCAGCCACACUGGAACUGAGACACGGUCCAGACUCCUACGGGAGGCAGCAGUGGGGAAUAUUGGACAAUGGGCGCAAGCCUGAUGGAGCCAUACCGCGUGAGUGAAGAAGGCCUUCGGGUUGUAAAGCUCUGUUAUUGGGAAAGAAAAGCAGUAGAAGAAACCACGGCUGUUCUGACGGUACCCAAAGAAUAAGCACCGGCUAACUUCGUG